GGGUCUCUUCCAAAGUUUUCCUAGGUCUUCCUCUACCCCUUCGGCCCUGAACAUCUGUCCCGUAAUCACAUCUUCGAACCGGAGCGUCAGUAGGCCAUAUUUGCACAUGUCCAAACCAUCGUAACCGAUUUUCUCUCAUCUUUCCUUCAAUUUCGGCUACUCCUACUUUACCUCGGAUAUCCUCAUUCCCAAUCUUAUCCUUUCUCGUGUGCCCACACAUCCCACGAAGCAUCCUCAUCUCCGCUACACCCAGUUUGUGUACGUGUUGAUGCUUCACCGCCCAACAUUCUGUGCCAUACAACAUCGCUAGCCUUAUUGCCGUCCUAUAAAAUUUUCCCUUGAGCUUCAGUGGCCUACGACGGUCACACAACACUCUGAAUGCAUUCUUACACUUCAUCCAUCCGGCUUGUAUUCUAUGGUUGAGAUCUCCAUCUAAUUCUCCGUUCUCUUGCAAGAUAGAUCCUAGGUAGCGAAAACUGUCGCUUUUUGUGAUCUUCGCUAGAUUGCUCCGGUCAUUAGUGUGGAUAAGUAUAUAAAUGGAUAGAGAUAGGAAAGCAAACACAAGAUGUACGUGGUUCACCCAGAUUGGCUACAUCUACGGAAUAGAGGAGUUCUCAUUAAUUGUGAAGGGUUUACACAAGUACAUAGGUUCAAGCUCUCCUUUAGUGAGUACAAGUGAAUGAUUUAGUACAAAUGACAUUAGGAAAUGUUGUGGGAGAAUGAUCUCGUAAUCACGAAACUUCUAAGUACCGGAGUGUGGUAUCUUCUUGACUUGCUUUAUCUGUCUCAUAGGUAGAUGUGGCAUCUUCUCUGGAAGUACUCUUCCUCCAUCCAGGGGUGGUAUCUUUAACUGGUGGAGAUGCACAAGGUAAUGUAUCAAUUUCACUUGAAGCUUACUUGUAGUUUCAGGCUUGGUCAAGCGCGAUACAAGGUAAGCAAUCAGAGCUCUGGCUGAUUGUUCACAUUCUCCCUAUCUUGCAGGCAGCAUGAAGGAUAAAGAGAAGAAAAAUGAGAAGAGAUGAUAUGAGAUACUUUUGCUUUUGAAGAAGUAACUUUCCACAAGCUUAUUCUUGAACUGGCUUGAGGGUUUUCUGGUUUCCUCCAGAGUAUAAGGCCGACUGAAGAAUUUGAGGGUCAAAACAAGUCCAUCAAAUCUAGAGUACGUUCGACCCUGUUGAUAUGGGAUACUUUUGCUUUUGACAGAGUAGUGGAUGUAUCGGCACGUGUGCUGUUACGCUUGUCUCCACAUGCUUCCUUGUAUCCUUCUCACUUGCCCUAUCUGUUCCUCAGGCAAAUGCAAUAUCUUCCCAAGAAGCAUAAGAUGUUGAAGAUGAGUACUCGAGAGUAAUGCCAGGUAAGUAAUCAGGUAAGGGGUUCCAGGCAGUCAGUUCCUGGCUGGAAGCUUGAUUCCAAGUGCUGACUGAUUGCUCUCUUUCUCCUUGUCUUGCAGGUAAGAACAAGGCCAAAGGAAAAGACAGGGAAAAAGCAUGAUAUGGGAUACUCUUGCUUUUAACCCUGAUGAUAUGAGAUAUUCUUGCUCUAGUAUAGCUUGUUUGCAGAGGUAUUAUCGGGGGGAAAGAAAGCUGAAUAUUUUGAAAGGCUUUGUUGGGAGUGCCCUCUUAGAUAUGAGGAAGGGUUGAGCAUUUUUGCAGGUCUGCCUGUCCGUUAGGGAUGGAGGUCGACAUAUAUAGGAGUCUCCCUAACAACAAGUAGUAAUGUUAUUCUUUUACCCUGCUUGGUCAUAGCACGGUAGUGGGAGCUGCCAGCUUCACAUGUUUUAACUCUAUCAGAGCACUUUGAAAAAGUGGUCUGUGGUAUCUGAAAAGCUAAUGUUGCGUGUGAAGAUUACAGACAAGCUUUAUUCAAGGAGAUCCGGCUCUUGAAGUUGGGAAAGUGGUGCCUCUUCGGUUUUCGAACAAGCAAUCUUGUCGGGGAUCUGGCUCUCGAGAUUCGGAGAACGAUGCCUCUUCAAUUUUUGAGAAAGCAAUCCUGCUAGGGGUCUGGCUCUCGAGAUUCGGAGAGCGGUGUCUCUUCGAUUUUUAAGAAAGUAAUCAUGUUGGGAGUCUGGCUCUCGAGAUUCGAAGGGCGAUGCCUCUUCGAUUUUGGAGCAAGCAAUCUUGUUGGGAGUGUUUUCUCGAAUGUGAGUAAAGGUUGGGCAUGUUUGCUGGUCUACCUUGCCACGAAGCACAGAGGUUGACACACAGAGACUUUCCAAUUAUCCAGCAGUGGUACUGUUCCUUUACCCUUAUGGGUAAUAAUAUAGUAACUAGACCUUCAAAAUUUAUGUGUCUAAACUUUGUUAGUGCUGUUUCUUUGCUAUUCUUUUACCCUUCUUGUUCAGAGCGAUGUAGUGAGAGCUGCAAGUUUCACGUGUCUCAACUUUGUCAGAGAACUUUGGCAAAGUUAUCUGUGGUACCCAUGAGCUACUGUUGCGUGUGGGAAGUGAGUGAUUGAACAAUAAGAUUCAUGUGCUUUCUACUUCACCAGAAAUCUUCGACAGAAUGCCCAUAAUUUCCGCAAAGCUGAGUAUGCGUGUGACAGGUGCUGACAAGGCUGGAAAAGUAGGUGCCUCUUCGAUUUCUGAGAUCGGCCCUCGUGGUCUCUGAGCAGCCCAGCUUUUGAGAAAGCAAGCGCAUCUUCGAUUUCUGAGAUCAGCCUUCGUGGUCUUUGAGCAGCCCAACUUUUGAGAAAGCAAACGCCUCUUCGAUUUCUGAGAUCGACCCUCGUGGUCUCUGAGCAACCCAGCUUUUGAGAAAGCAAACGCCUCUUCGAUUUCUGAGCAGGCGCCUCUUCGAUUUCUGAAGCUCCGUCGAGUGUAGAUUUUUAUAGGGGCUGGCAUUAAGUUCCAAAGCACACUUGAAUCUCCACCAGUAGAAGCUCCAUUCUUGCACUUCUAAGAUCUUGAUUUGUCCGACCUCUUCUCUCUUCAACACCUUUGAAAAUGUCUGGCCCCUCCGACCGUCGUUUUAACUUGAACCUUGUUGAAGAGGCAGCCCCGCCUUCUCCAGACAACAUAUGGCGCCCAUCCUUCGUCUCCCCUACUGGUCCUCUUACCGUUGGGGAUUCUGUGAUGAAGAAUGAUAUGACCGCUGCGGUGGUGGCCAGGAGCCUUCUCACUCCCAAAGAUAACAUACUACUUUCCAAACGGUCUGAUGAGUUGGCUGUUAAGGAUUCUCUGGCUCUCAGUGUUCAGUGUGCAGGUUCUGUGUCUAAUAUGGCCCAACGCCUAUUUGCUCGAACCUGCCAAGUUGAAUCAUUGGCGGUUGAAGUGAUGAGUCUCAAACAGGAGAUUAAAGGGCUCAGACAUGAGAAUAAACAGUUGCACCGACUCGCACAUAACUAUGCUACAAACAUGAAGAGGAAGCUUGACCAGAUGAAGGAAUCUGAUGGUCAGGUUGUACUUGAUCAUCAGAGAUUUGUGGGUUUGUUCCAAAGACAUUUAUUGUCUUCGUCUUCUGAGGCUGUACCGCGUAAUGAAGCUCCAAAUGAUCAACCUCUGAUGCCUCCUCCUUCUAGGGUUCUGUCCAGUACUGAGGCUCCGAAUGAUCCCCCUCUGGUGCCUUCUCUUUCUAGGGCUCUACCGACUGCUGAAACUUCUCCUAAGCAACCUUUGUGAAGGCUCUCUCUUGUUUGUUUAUUUUGACUCAUGUAUAUGUACAUAUUUGUAACUUAUCGGGAAUAUCAAUAAAUAAGCUUUCCUUCAUUUCAACGUAUUGUGUUAAAUACACCAAAGCCUUCUUCGCUAAGUUCUUUGAAUUUUCUUUUAUUGAAGCUUGUAAGUUGAAGCUUUGUGAGUAGAGCAUGUAGGUUGAGGUAGUGUUCCCUUAAUUUCCCGAGUGAGGAAAAUUUCUCGGUUGGAGACUUGGAAAAUCCAAGUCAAUGAGUGGGAUCGGCUAUAUGAAUCUUAGAACGCCAUUGUGCUCGGUCCUGUGUCAUGUCCUCCGUUAGAUCCAAGUACUUUAAGUCUUUUCUUAGAGUCUCUUCCAAAGUUUUCCUAGGUCUUUCUCUACCCCUUCGGCCCUGAACCUUUGUCCCAUAGUCGCAUCUUCUAAUCGGAGCGUCAGUAGGCCUUCUUUGCACAUGUCCAAACCACAGUAACCGAUUUUCUCUCAUCUUUCCUUCAAUUUCGGCUACUCCUACUUUACCCCGGAUAUCCUCAUUCCUAAUCUUAUCCUUUCUCGUGUGCCCACACAUCCAACGAAGCAUCCUCAUCUCCGCUACACCCAUUUUGUGUACGUGUUGAUGCUUCACCGCCCAACAUUUUGUGACAUACAGCAUCACCGGCCUUAUUGCCGUCUUAUAAAAUUUUCCCUUGAGCUUCAGUGGCAUACGGCGGUCACACAACACGCCGGAUGCACUCUUCUACUUCAUCCAUCCAGCUUGUAUUAUAUGGUUGAGAUCUCCAUCUAAUUCUCCGUUCUUUUGCAAGAUAGAUCCUAGGUAACGAAAACGGUCGCUCUUUGGUAUUUCUUGAUCUCCGAUCCUCACCCCUAACUCGUUUUGGCCUCCAUUUGCACUGAAUUUGCACUCUAUAUAUUCUGUCUUUGAUCGGCUUAGGCGAAGACCUUUAGAUUCCAACACUUCUCUCCAAAGGUUAAGCUUUGCAUUUACCCCUUCCUGAGUUUCAUCUAUCAACACUAUAUCGUCUGCGAAAAGCAUACACCAAGGAAUAUCAUCUUGAAUAUGUCAUGUUAACUCAUCCAUUAUCAACGCAAAAAGGUAAGAACUUAAUGAUGAGCCUUGAUGUAAUCCUACAGUUAUGGGA
rnacentral:lncRNA from 1 species